UGGGGAAUAUUGGACAAUGGGGGCAACCCUGAUCCAGCCAUGCCGCGUGAGUGAUGAAGGCCUUAGGGUUGUAAAACUCUUUUGUCCGGGAAGAUAAUGACUGUACCGGAAGAAUAAGCCCCGGCUAACUUCGUGCCAGCAGCCGCGGUAAUACGAAGGGGGCUAGCGUUGUUCGGAAUCACUGGGCGUAAAGCGCACGUAGGCGGAUCGUUAAGUCAGAGGUGAAAUCCCGGAGCUCAACUUCGGAACUGCCUUUGAUACUGGCGAUCUCGAGUUUGGAAGAGGUUGGUGGAACUGCGAGUGUAGAGGUGAAAUUCGUAGAUAUUCGCAAGAACACCAGUGGCGAAGGCGGCCAACUGGUCCAAUACUGACGCUGAGGUGCGAAAGCGUGGGGAGCAAACAGG
rnacentral:rRNA from 1 species